CCUUACCUACUCUUGACAUCCAGAGAACUUAGCAGAGAUGCUUUGGUGCCUUCGGGAACUCUGAGACAGGUGCUGCAUGGCUGUCGUCAGCUCGUGUUGUGAAAUGUUGGGUUAAGUCCCGCAACGAGCGCAACCCUUAUCCUUUGUUGCCAGCGAUUCGGUCGGGAACUCAAAGGAGACUGCCGGUGAUAAACCGGAGGAAGGUGGGGAUGACGUCAAGUCAUCAUGGCCCUUACGAGCAGGGCUACACACGUGCUACAAUGGCGUAUACAAAGAGAAGCGACCUCGCGAGAGCAAGCGGAACUCAUAAAGUGUGUCGUAGUCCGGAUUGGAGUCUCCAACUCGACUC
rnacentral:rRNA from 1 species